UACGAAGGGGGCUAGCGUUGCUCGGAAUCACUGGGCGUAAAGGGUGCGUAGGCGGGUCUUUAAGUCAGGGGUGAAAUCCUGGAGCUCAACUCCAGAACUGCCUUUGAUACUGAGGAUCUUGAGUUCGGAAGAGGCGAGUGGAAUUCCCGGUGUAGCGGUGAAAUGCGCAGAUAUCGGGAGGAACACCAAUUGCGAAGGCAGCUGGCUACACAAAUAUUGACACUGAGGCGCGAAAGCGUGGGGAGCAAACAGG
rnacentral:rRNA from 1 species